rnacentral:misc_RNA from 1 species
GAUAAGAACGCAGCGAAAUGCGAUACGUAAUGUGAAUUGCAGAAUUCAGUGAAUCAUCGAAUCUUUGAACGCAUAUUGCGCUCUCUGGUAUUCCGGAGAGCAUGCUUGUUUGAGUAUCAGUAAACACCUCAACUUCCAUAUCUUUUUUUGAAAUGGGAGUUGGACUUGAGUGAUCCCAACGCUUUUCCUCACCGCAAAGUGGCGGGUUACUUGAAAUGCAGGUGCAGCUGGACUUUUCUCUGAGCUAUAAGCAUAUCUAUUUAGUCUGCCUAAAAAACAGAUUAUUACCUUUGCUGCAGCUAACAUAAAGGAGAUUAGUUCUUGUGCUGACUGAUGCAGGAUUCACAAAGACAGCUUCGGCCGACUUUGUAAACUCGAUCUCAAAUCAAGUAAGACUACCCGCUGAACUUAAGCAUAUCAAUAAGCGGAGGA